GCCUGGGUGGCUCAGUGGUUUAAGCGCCUGACUUCAACCCAGGGCAUGAUCCUGGAAUCCUGGGAUCGAGUCCCAUGUCAGGCU
rnacentral:tRNA from 1 species